UUUUAGAUGCCCUGGCUGUGGUGGAUGUCCCGGUCGAGGGCAGUGAUGGCUUUCAUGAAGAAAUCUUUAAAUGAAGACGGGAUUACCCAAACCUUUCCCUUCCCUGCUGCACUAGAAGCCAGGAAUAUCCUGUUGCUUCAGUCUGAAAACGGAACAGGACACCUUGAUAAGCGUGAUUCCUAGAGCUGAAGGGAGACACCACAGCCAGACAAGGUGUGCAACCACCUGACUUAUUUCUUCAACCACCUGAUUUAUUUCUAGUACAAUUAGAACAAACAGCCCUUUCCUUUUUAAUAAAGAUAAAGCACCUAGUUUAAAAAUCACGAGGAGGUGAGCAAAGAACCUGCUGUGCCCCUGGAUUCUGCAUUUACCACUUUGCUAAAGAGAGCCUAUGAGAGAGGAAGCAAUACCCUACUGGAAGGUGGUGUUCAGACAAAAUUGGCUUCCUGGCUCCCACCUGACCAGCUUUUGUUGGGAGUAAAGCAUGUGCUGUUAUACCUGAAAUCCACAGUGGAGAACUUCAGCAGGGUAAGAGCAAUAUUGUAAUAAUAUUGUGGUUAUGUUUGAUUUAUUUUCAUGUAGAAGGUACAAAUGACUUAGCUGUUCAAACUUAGGUUCCAGUUCUGUAGCUCUUUUUUCUGUGCUUGUCUCUGAGGCUGCACAGCACCGUACAAAACUGCACGUAAUUUGUAAACAAAUGCCAGUUCUUAUUAUUGAGGAUUUGCUUUGGAUUUACUUUGCAUGGGUUACCUUGCUGAUCAGUGUGAGUGCAAAUAACCUCGAGAUUUUAAUCCAGCUCCUGGGUCUCCCCAGGAAGCCUUUGCAGAGAGUAAAAUUCACUGGCCUGUGUACCUCCAAAUGUCAUAUAUAUAAUGUAUAAAUGAAAUAUAUAGAUGUGUAAAUGAAAUUCUAUCACUAUUUAUUUGGCAACCUGAGACUUCUCUUAGAAUCAGGUUUCUAUUAAGGGAGGUGGUUCCUUCUCCCAGAAGAGGUUGUAAUCUAAGUAGUUCUUAGUUAACUCCUAUUCCUGCUGUAUAAUUACCUGUCUGCUCCCAUCCUCCUCUUUUCUUCACUUCCAACAUGUCUUUGUUUUCAUAGCUUGGUAAAACUUUGGGUCCUCAGCUUGUUGAUCUCUGUGUGGACCUGCUGAGCAUCUUGUUGUGCCGGGACAAUGAAAUAAAGCUGGAGCAGCAGCAGAAGCAGGAGGAGCAUCAGGCUGAUGGGAUCUCUUCAUGGAUGAGGAGCCUCUGAUGACAGAAGUGUCUUCAAAUGACAAGACCCUGGAGGAUGCACUCACCUUGAUUUUCAGACAUCCUGCACUGGAGAGCUGGUUCCUGGCGUUGGAGCUGCGCUCUAUUCCUCAG